rnacentral:lncRNA from 1 species
GUGUCAUCAGGAAAAUACAAAUGAGAACCAAAUCCACAUUUACUAGAAAGGCUAAAAUGUGAACGAAUUGGCAAUACAAAGUGUUAGUAGAGUGAAACAUCUAGAAUCCUCAAAGACUGUUGGUAGAAGGGCAAAAUGGUAAAAUUGUUUUGGAAGCAGUUUUGUAGUUUCUUGUCAAGUUGACCAUGAUUGUAUUAUAUUUGUCAUGAAUUGUGCUUUAAGAGUAUUUAAUGGCUUAAAAUACAAGUAAUUUCUUUCUUUCAUCUCUUAUGGUUUCUGUGGGUCAGAAGUUGAGACAGGGCACAGUAGAAGGUAGUCUCCGCCACAUCUGGGCAGAGCUGGAAGACUGUGAAGCUGGAGGAAUCGUCAGAGGCUGUUCAUUCACAGGACUAGUAAGUUGAUGUUGGUGUUGGCUGGGGGCCAUCAUCUGAAAUACCCGUAUAUGGAUGUUUCAUGUGACCAGGGCUUCUUCACAGCACAGUGCCUGGGUUUGCUAGGCAGGAUUCCACAGAAAGGAGCAAGAGGAAUGGAAAGAGGGGGCAGGAGAGAGAUCCCUGAAGGCAGGGAUCAUGUGUUACCCAUUUUUAAAUCAUCACAAUGUCUUCAACCUUAUAAGCAAUCCUAUUGUUUGACUAGCACAUUUUUCAAAACAGGUUUGUUAGUCUGUGUUAUGAUUAAUUUUGUGUGUUGGACCACAGUGUCUAUAUAUUGGGUCAAACAUUAUCCUGAUUGUGUCUGUGAAGAUGUUUUUGGAUGACACUAACAUUUAAAUUGGUGAACUAUGUAGUAAAGCAGACUACCCUUUAUAAUGUGGGUCAGCUUCAUGCAAUCACUUAAAGGCCUAAAUAGAACAACACCCCCACCCCCACCCCAGGCCAGAGGGAAAUUCAGGCAUUCCACCAGCACAAGUUUUUUGGGCUUGAAGGACAACACUGGCUCUUUUCUGGGUCUCUAGCCGGCUAGCAUACCCAGGAAAUUUUGGACUUGUUACUUUUCACAAUCACAAGUCAAUUCCAGAAAAUAAAUCUCUUUAUAGAAAUUUAUACGUCCUAUUGGUUUUGUUUCUUCUAAGAAUACUAAUGUAGUCUAGUUUCCCAGUAUCACCAAAAGCACGAGCUUCUUGUCUAGAAGUCCCUGCCCUUGGUUGAUAACUGCAAAUGGGAUUUUCAUGUAAAAUAGUUCCCACAUUGCUUCUUCAUAAUAGACAAUGUGCCUCUAAUCUACAGCAUUUACAUGUUGGUCUUAAAGCCUUGCAGCAAGGUGGCAGUUCCCAGCCGUUUUCUCAGGAGGACGUGAACAGGAGCCAUUACAUGGCUCAUCAGUAAUCUGUGGCAAAGAAGCUGGGCUCAUCAGCGCAGAAGUAAAUCUGUCAUUACUGGAGAAUGUGAAUCAACUCAAGUGAAACGGGGUUCUGUCAGCUUAUAAAACUUAAUUAUGUUUUUAACUUCAUAAAUUAGUUCAGGUACAGACGUUCGAAAAUACCCAAUUUCUAGCUUGAACCAAGAGAAAAUUAAUUGCCGAAAUGCAAACUUUUAGUGAGUUAAGAAAUCAUUGGAAUUUCUCAACUGUGUCUCCCAACCAAGGCUUGUGCUUUAAAUUUGUGUGUGUGUGUCAGUUCUGGGUUAAAGUUGCUCAGUUUCCUUUUAUACAACACACCCCAGAAAAUUCUACAUUUUCAGAAUAAGGAAAUCUACCAGGAGAGGAAAAAAAAAAAACCCACUCCAAUACGUGGCUUAAGUUUCUCACCCUGGCGGAGUUAAAAAAAAGCACUUCGGCAUAAGGACAAAAGCUCCCUUGUUUAAGCGCUUUGCCAGCAGCACUUCAACUAAAUAUAUCCUGGACACAGUGUUUUCAUUUCACCACCCCUCUCCUGAGCCAAUCACAUGGUGACAAACAGCCCCGAGGCCUCCGGGGACUGGCACUGCAGAGGUACGCCUUGGUUACAGGGCUCCGCACUCCUUCCCCAGCCCCGGGCUGCUCCCGGCCGCCCGCUUCCCCGGGCGGGCGUUGGAAGCCCGCGGCAGGCGCACUGCGGCUCUGCUGGGAGAGGCCUUCAGGGGUUAAACUCAGCCGCCUCUGUCUGGAAUUCAUGCACCACCUGGGCCGACAGCAUGAAUGACUCAUUGUUUCCCCCUUCAAACAGGCUGAGCAGUGCUUUUCCGUGUCAAUAACCGAGGCAAAGUAAAAUUGUUUUUUUUUUUUCCUUUUCUUUUCCCCUUUCAACAUAACCAGUUUUUAAAAACUGAAUAUAGAAGUGGGAAUCUGGAGAGUGUAUUUUCUUGUGUGGCAACUGUAGCCAAGGUUACUGCCUUUGAGCUGGUCUGCGGGGACAAAGGAUUUAAAUUUACUGUCUACAAACAGAAAGGGACCCAAGGCGCCUUUUAUUGAUGGCUUGUAUCACGAUUCUACAAAAUGAAGUAAACUUAGUUUAAACCCUUCGUCUGUCCAAAGCUGUGGUCUGGUCACCAUUAGUGUAAAUAAAAAUUUUGAG